GCCUACAGCCACACCACCCUGAGAACGCCCAAUCUCGUCUGAUCUCGGAAGCUAAGCAGGGUUGGGCCCAGUUAGUACUUGGAUGGGAGACUGCAUGGGAAUACUGGGUGCCGUAGGCU